GCAAGCAUGACGCAAACACUUGCUUGAACUCAACAUGGCGUUAGAUUUUCUCAAAGGCAAGUCUGUGGUAUCACAAGUCUUGAAAAAACGCUAAAAAUAGGGUUUCGAUACUCGACGUGAGCACAGCACAGGUGUCGGCUACGCUCUUUUGUUGAUAUGAUAUCAUGACUCCAAGUUUGGGGCUCAGCCUCUUCCAAUACAGACAAGAGUAGCCCAAGAGUUAGCGGUGGAUGCUGUUGGCUAGCUGCCUUCCCUCCGGCUAUCAGUUCAAAAUCAAGGAAGACUAAGCAGAUAACCACAUAUACAGCAUAUAUAGCUUUACACGAAAUGCCUAAAGAAGCUAAACCCAUAAAAUACAUUCGAGAAUAUUAAUUUUUAAUUCAAAAAAAAAUUGUGAUGGAGAGAAUAGUUGUUAGAGUAUAAUAUGAGAUCAUGAGCUUUCUCCAAUAAUACUUUGGAACAUUUAUUGAUUCUUCUGGCAAAAAAAAA